GACGAACGCUGGCGGCGUGCCUAAUACAUGCAAGUCGAACGCAGUGGGGACGGGUGAGUAACAAGUGGGUAACCUACCAUCAGAGGGGAUAACACUUGGAAACAGGUGCUAAACCGAUACUGAUGGAUGGACCCGCGGUGCAUUAGCUAGUUGGGGAGGUAACGGCUCACCAAGGCCACGAUGCAUAGCCGGCCGUAGAGGGUGAUCGGCAACACUGGAACUGGGACCCGGCCCAGACUCCACCGGGAGGCAGCAGUAGGGAAUCUUCGGCAAUGGACGAAAGUCUGACCGACCAACGCCGCGGGAGUGAAGAAGGUUUUCGGAUCGUAAAACUCUGUUAUCAGAGAAGCGGUAUCUAACCAGAAAGCCACGGCUAACUACGUGCCAGCAGCCGCGGUAAUUC
rnacentral:rRNA from 1 species